AGCUCCGAGGUGUAUUUACACAUCAAAAUGCAAGUUUGAAGAAGGACCCAGGAGAGUCCCGGGGCUU
rnacentral:tRNA from 1 species